GAUGAACGCUGGCGGCGUGCCUAAUACAUGCAAGUCGAGCGAACGGACGAGAAGCUUGCUCCUCUGAUGUUAGCGGCGGACGGGUGAGUAACACGUGGAUAACCUACCUAUAAGACUGGGAUAACUUCGGGAAACCGGAGCUAAUACCGGAUGAUAUUUUGAACCGCAUGGUUCAAAAGUGAAAGACGGUCUUGCUGUCCCUUAUAGAUGGAUCCGGGCUGCAUUAGCUAGUUGGUAAGGUAACGGCUUACCGAGGCAACGAUGCAUAGCCGACCUGAGAGGGUGAUCGGCCACACUGGAACUGAGACACGGUCCAGACUCCUACGGGAGGCAGCAGUAGGGAAUCUUCCGCAAAGGGCGAAAGCCUGACGGAGCAACGCCGCGUGAGUGAUGAAGGUCUUCGGAUCGUAAAACUCUGUUAUUAGGGAAGAACAUAUGUGUAAGUAACUGUGCACAUCUUGACGGUACCUAAUCAGAAAGCCACGGCUAACUACGUG
rnacentral:rRNA from 1 species